UACAGAGACUGCAAGCGUUAUUCGGAUUCACUGGGCGUAAAGGGUGCGCAGGCGGCCAUGUGUGUGAAGUGUGAAAGCCCGGGGCUUAACCCCGGAAUUGCUCCUCAAACUACAUGGCUAGAGCAUUGGAGAGGGUAGCGGAAUUCACGGUGUAGCAGUGAAAUGCGUAGAUAUUGGGAGGAACACCAGUGGCGAAGGCGGCUCGCUGGACCGGUUCUGACGCUGAGGCGCGAAAGCGUGGGGAGCAAACGGG
rnacentral:rRNA from 1 species